GGUUAGAACUUUUUAGCAAUAAAGUAUUUUUAAUUAAGGUUGUGAAGAAUGUCUGACCAUGAAGAAAGGGGAAUGAGACAUGACAGACGCUGAGGCAUAGAACGGAAGAAAGGAUGCCUCUCUCAGACUCCUAAGGAGAUUGAUGGCAUCAGAACUAUCUGACAUUCAUUUGGACACCCUAACUCAGAGGAUCUUUACCUGACAUCCAGGAACUUUUUUAGAAAUAUUUGUAUAACUGUAUCUCCAUAUAGUUGGCUUCCCGGACAAUAUUGUUUAUUUUAUGUAUUUAAAAACAUCAUUCUGAGUCAGGGUCCUACGGUUCCCCAGACUGCCAAAGGAGUCCAUGAUUCAAAAAGAAGUAAGAACCCUUGCCCUAGAUAAUUGUUUGGCCACUGAGAAAAUUAAAAUUAUUCUGUGUCAUUUAACAAUUGAUUCAAUUCUGUAAUUGACUGUUCUGUACUGCUGCUCCAUUUUGUGUCAUUGCUCAGUCCACAUUUUUCCAUCCCUGAGUCAACUCUUCCUCUGAGUUAGUCACAAGUUAACUUGUUAUCAUCCCCAAAAGGUAUAGCGUCCACCCUUGCAAACUUCUUAGUCCCCACCAAACCCUUCUAGGCACCAGGAAGUCUGCUAACUCAGGUCUGCUAACAACACCUGUAAGAUUCAUACAAUUAGGGAAGGGACCAGAACUGGAACCGAGGGUUCCUGAUUUCAACCUUGACUUCCAGCACUCUCUCUACCACACCAUGAGAAGAUAAUGAGCUCACAUCAGGGGCCUUGCACAAUACCAACUCCCUCUGCUCGUUUGCAAUGGGCUCUGUUCUGUUUUUAUUCUUACUUGUCCUAUUUAAUAUGUGGUUCAUUUUGAAAGAGGACUCAAACUGUCCUUUGGCAAAUAGGUGAAAUAUAAAUUGAAAAUAAAUGAUAACUAGUUAUAAAUGAUUUGGAUUUAACUAGAACCUGGAAUAACCCAGUGCCCUUUUACUCUUCCAAUAGUAUAAAUAGACUAAAGUUGCCUUUAUAUAGUACUCAUGUUUAACUUAAAGUAACAUGAGGUUUUUUAACAAAACACAUUUAAGAUUCUUGAACCAGAAACCCUAGACAAACAAUUAUGAGAUUCCAGUACUAAAUAACUAAGGGACUCCAGAGAACAAAGACUAAUGUACUUUAAUGAAGCAUGACAACAUUUUAGAGAACAUGAUAUAAAUUGAGAUAAAGUACCAUUUAUAUUUGGUCAAAUAUAUUUUUGUCUAAAGAUAACUUGAUCUCAAGUAAACAAUUAUUGUUAAAUAUCAUGGAGCAUUAUGCCUUAUAUUAAAUAGUGUCAUUACUUUCCAAGC